rnacentral:rRNA from 1 species
CGCGGGGGCUUUAACUUCCGGGUUGUGGCAGUUGGGUACCGGGCAGGAUUAGACGUGCCAGUAGGGGGUAACUGGAAUUCCCUGGUGUAGGCGGUGAAAUGCGCAGAUAUCAGGAGGAACAUCGAUGGCGAAAGGCAGGUUACUGGGCUGUUACUGACUCUGAGGAGCGAAAGCAUGGGGAGCGAACAGGAUUUAGAUACCCUGGUAGUCCAUGCCGUAAACGUUGGGCACUAGGUGUGGGGGACAUUCCACGUUUUCCGCGCCGUAGCUAACGCAUUAAGUGCCCCGCCUGGGGAGUACGGCCGCAAGGCUAAAACUCAAAGGAAUUGACGGGGGCCCGCACAAGCGGCGGAGCAUGCGGAUUAAUUCGAUGCAACGCGAAGAACCUUACCAAGGCUUGACAUACACCGGAUCGUUCCAGAGAUGGUUCUUCCCUUUUGGGCUGGUGUACAGGUGGUGCAUGGUUGUCGUCAGCUCGUGUCGUGAGAUGUUGGGUUAAGUCCCGCAACGAGCGCAACCCUCGUUCUAUGUUGCCAGCACGUGAUGGUGGGGACUCAUAGGAGACUGCCGGGGUCAACUCGGAGGAAGGUGGGGAUGACGUCAAAUCAUCAUGCCCCUUAUGUCUUGGGCUUCACGCAUGCUACAAUGGCCGGUACAAUGGGUUGCGAUACUGUGAGGUGGAGCUAAUCCCAAAAAGCCGGUCUCAGUUCGGAUUGGGGUCUGCAACUCGACCCCAUGAAGUCGGAGUCGCUAGUAAUCGCAGAUCAGCAACGCUGCGGUGAAUACGUUCCCGGGCCUUGUACACACCGCCCGUCAAGUCACGAAAGUUGGUAACACCCGAAGCCGAUGGCCUAACCCUUGUGGAGGGAGUCGUCGAAG